rnacentral:rRNA from 1 species
CAGUCGCCACGGUAAUACGGAGGGUGCAAGCGUUAAUCGGAAUUACUGGGCGUAAAGCGCACGCAGGCGGUUUGUUAAGUCAGAUGUGAAAUCCCCGAGCUUAACUUGGGAACUGCAUUUGAAACUGGCAAGCUAGAGUCUUGUAGAGGGGGGUAGAAUUCCAGGUGUAGCGGUGUAAUGCGUAGAGAUCUGGAGGAAUACCGGUGGCGAAGGCGGCCCCCUGGACAAAGACUGACGCUCAGGUGCGAAAGCGUGGGGAGCAAACAGGAUUAGAUACCCCGGUAGUCCCUGUCUCUUAUAC